UUGGAUGGGAGCUCUGUUUUCACUCUAUUAAAUCUUGCAACUGAAACAAAACAAAACAAAACAAAAAAACCCCAUCACUUUUAAUAGAUACAUAAUGAUACAGACUAAAAAUAUAUUUAAAAAAUUUGUGUUAGAAUCCAAAUAUGACUAUCUUUGUAGAUCUUGGUUCCAGGUCUUGGAUAGUUUUUCAAGAUAAAUUAUCAGAAAGAAAAUUAUUGACUUGAAAUUUUUUGGGGUGUUUUGCUUUAUCUUGCUAAACUGCUUUUCAGAAAUUCUGAACAAGAAGAGAAAGUCACCAGCGGGUAUGAAAGAUGCCAUCUCAUUGCAUCAGGCCAUACUGGGACUGUUCAUUUAAAAACACCUUUGCCAGUCUGUAGGAAUAUUUUGUGGUUUACAAUUUGCAUUUAAAAUUACUGAUGUGAUUUUAAAUUUAUUAGACAUUUCUAUUUCUCUUUUUAUGAACUGCCUGCUCACAUUCAUUGAUCAUCUAUUUAUUGACACAUAUGAACUAUUUUAAUAAGUAUAGUCAUCCCUUCGUAUCCACGGGGGAUUGGUUCUAGGAUCUCCCAUGGAUACCAAAAUUCACAGAUGCUUAAUGCCUUUAUAUAAAAUGGUGUAAUAUUUGCAUAUAACCUACAUACAUCCUUCUGUAUACUUCAACUCUAGAUUACUUAUAAUAUCUUUAAUACAAUGUAAAUGCUAUGUGAAUAGUUGUUAUACUGUAUUGUUUAGAGAAUAAUGACAAUGUUUUUUCCCCUCAUUUUCUUUUAUCUGUGGUUGGCUGAAUCUGGGGAUGCAGAACCCAUGAAUAUGGAGGGUUGACUAUAUAUUAAAUAUUUGCCUGUUGGGUCUUUUGGCAAUCAUAUAGAGAGGACUCUUCCAAAUCAUGAUUUCCCUUUCACUCAACUCAAAUCUAGCUGCUGGGAAUUAGGCCCAGGUCUUAGAAUGACUAUGUUUCCCCACUCCCUGUGAAGUAAAGCCUCAGGUCUUCAACUCAGGGAUCAUUUCUUCUGUCAUUUUCUGGGUUGUUAUUGCACCUCUGCUCUAUUGUCUCGCAUCAAUUCUGUAUGUCUCAUCUCAUAAUUAUCAUCCCUUAUCUUUUUCCUGAGUUCUGGGACUGGUGUUCUAAUUUUCUAUUUAGUGCCAGAAAUAGCCUUCCUGCUGCCCUCCCUGAGCACUCAUUGGGCAAUGGGGUUUUCAUUCCCGAAGCAUUUCAUUGUCCACAGACUACACCUUUUUCGUGACAGGCUGUUCUUUUGCAUUAUCACAUUGUUCUGUUGAGUCUCAUGGAGAACCAGAAAUUUAAAAAUUUUAUAUUCUUAAAUGGAGAGCCACUUGCCCUGAAUCUGCUGCCUGGUCCCUACUUUAGAACUGCAGUCCCUUCUCAUAUGACCUAUGGUUUUUCUCUGACGAGUCAGCCUUUUCCAGAAAGGUCUAUCUGUCCCUGAUGGGCUGCUGGGUGGCCCUGUCAGAGCCUCGGUAGGUCCUGUUUAAUUAUUUUGCUCACAGUAAAAGGAUAAAGGCAACAUCUAGGCCUACCGUAAUUUUUUUCUCUGCCCCCGGAAAUAUACUGCCUGUGUAGUUCCAGGAGGUAGCUGCAGGUCAAAGGAAACAGCCAUUGACAGGGAAUUCUCCACAUUUGGGUUUUAUGUUUAGUAUUUCACUGAGUGAAAUAUAUGCAGUAGGAAAUCAAACUGCCUUUUUUUCCCUUCCAAAUACUUAAUUGUUUUCUGUUACUAAAUAAUCUCCUCCCGACUCCCACUUAGUAUUUGUUUUUACCUUAUGUUACCUUUUUCUAUAGAGUCAUGUUCCAUUAUGCUGUCUGGAGUAAGUAUCACACUUAUUUAAUCACUUUCAAAAACAAUUACCUUUUGAUAUCUCUGAAAGCUUUCUGAGCACCUGGUUAGUCUUCUGGGAGAACCUCUGGAUACUUUCUCAGGUUAACAAAUAAACAAAAAUAUCCACCUAUUGGCAUUUUCACCGGAAAGCCAAUCAAUAAAUGGCUGUUUUCGUGAGGAGCUGGCCAUGUUUCCACUUAGACCAGCCUCAGAGCAGGCUGAGCUGCUGCCUGCUGCCCUUGGUGCCCUUCAUGUAUGUGGUUCAGGUUAGUCCUGGUGACAAAUGUCCUUGGCUUUUCAUCUUGUGGAUGGGAUCUUUGUUCCAUUAUAUUUUUGCCAUGUAUAUAGAUAUAUAUUUUCAUUACAUUGCAUUACAACCAUUAUAUAGGAAAUCCCAUACUUUGAUUGGUUUAUUUUGAAUCUGGGCUAUCUUACUGAACUUAUUAGUUCUAACAGUUUUUCAAAUGCUUCUCCUGGACUUUCUAAGGACACAGUAACACCACCUGCAAAUAAUGAAAAAUGAAUCUCCUUUCUACAACUAUAUUUCUUAGUUUUGAUACCAUUGGAAAAUAAUGGUGCCUAGUCCCAGAGGAAAUGCAAGUUCACUGAAAUCUAAGGGGGAAAAAAGAGACAUGAAAAACCAACAAGUGCAAAGCAAUGUGGUGCAAAAUGUGGUGGCAGAGCAACAACCAUUCUCAGCAGAAUCCUCAUUAAUUCAUGCCAAACCACAGGGGCUACUUCUGCUCCCAUGUAUCCUUGCAUCAAGUACAACACCCAGCAGAGAUGGACACGCGAUAAGAGAUAAGGUGAAUGAAUGGAGGCUGCAUGGCAUGGUGGUUAUGAGCACGGACUCUGAGGCAAACUGGCUCUACCACUUCCUGGCUGUGUGAU